rnacentral:rRNA from 1 species
UUCUGGCUCAGGACGAACGCUGGCGGCGUGCCUAAUACAUGCAAGUAGAACGCUGAAGGAGGGAGCUUGCUUCUUCUGGAUGAGUUGCGAACGGGUGAGUAACGCGUAGGUAACCUGCCUGAUAGCGGGGGAUAACUAUUGGAAACGAUAGCUAAUACCGCAUAAGAGGUAAUAACACAUGUUAUUAGUUUAAAAGGGGCAACUGCUCCACUAUCAGAUGGACCUGCGUUGUAUUAGCUAGUUGGUAAGGUAACGGCUUACCAAGGCGACGAUACAUAGCCGACCUGAGAGGGUGAUCGGCCACACUGGGACUGAGACACGGCCCAGACUCCUACGGGAGGCAGCAGUAGGGAAUCUUCGGCAAUGGGGGCAACCCUGACCGAGCAACGCCGCGUGAGUGAAGAAGGUUUUCGGAUCGUAAAGCUCUGUUGUAAGAGAAGAACGGAUGUGGGAGUGGAAAAUCCAUGUCGUGACGGUAUCUUACCAGAAAGGGACGGCUAACUACGUGCCAGCAGCCGCGGUAAUACGUAGGUCCCGAGCGUUGUCCGGAUUUAUUGGGCGUAAAGCGAGCGCAGGCGGUUUCAUAAGUCUGAAGUUAAAGGCAGUGGCUUAACCAUUGUACGCUUUGGAAACUGUGAGGCUUGAGUGCAGAAGGGGAGAGUGGAAUUCCAUGUGUAGCGGUGAAAUGCGUAGAUAUAUGGAGGAACACCGGUGGCGAAAGCGGCUCUCUGGUCUGUAACUGACGCUGAGGCUCGAAAGCGUGGGGAGCAAACAGGAUUAGAUACCCUGGUAGUCCACGCCGUAAACGAUGAGUGCUAGGUGUUGGGUCCUUUCCGGGACUCAGUGCCGCAGCUAACGCAUUAAGCACUCCGCCUGGGGAGUACGACCGCAAGGUUGAAACUCAAAGGAAUUGACGGGGGCCCGCACAAGCGGUGGAGCAUGUGGUUUAAUUCGAAGCAACGCGAAGAACCUUACCAGGUCUUGACAUCCCGAUGCCCGCUCUAGAGAUAGAGUUUUUCUUCGGAACAUCGGUGACAGGUGGUGCAUGGUUGUCGUCAGCUCGUGUCGUGAGAUGUUGGGUUAAGUCCCGCAACGAGCGCAACCCUUAUUGUUAGUUGCCAUCAUUCAGUUGGGCACUCUAGCGAGACUGCCGGUAAUAAACCGGAGGAAGGUGGGGAUGACGUCAAAUCAUCAUGCCCCUUAUGACCUGGGCUACACACGUGCUACAAUGGCUGGUACAACGAGUCGCAAGUCGGUGACGGCAAGCUAAUCUCUUAAAGCCAGUCUCAGUUCGGAUUGUAGGCUGCAACUCGCCUACAUGAAGUCGGAAUCGCUAGUAAUCGCGGAUCAGCACGCCGCGGUGAAUACGUUCCCGGGCCUUGUACACACCGCCCGUCACACCACGAGAGUUUGUAACACCCGAAGUCGGUGGGGUAACC